UACAGAGGGUGCAAGCGUUAAUCGGAUUUACUGGGCGUAAAGGGCGCGUAGGUGGUUAUUUAAGUUUGAUGUGAAAUCCCUGGGCUUAACCUAGGAACUGCAUUGAAAACUGGAUAACUGGAGUACUGUAGAGGGUAGUGGAAUUUCCGGUGUAGCGGUGAAAUUCGUAGAGAUUGGGAAGAACACCGGUGGCGAAGGCGGCCAACUGGACUGGUAUUGACGCUGAGGCGCGAAAGUGUGGGGAUCAAACAGG
rnacentral:rRNA from 1 species